GCCUGGCUGGCUUAGUCAGUAGAGCAUGUGACUCUUGAUCUCAGGGUUGUGGCUUUGAACCCCAUGUUGAGUG
rnacentral:tRNA from 1 species